GACGAACGCUGGCGGCGUGCCUAAUACAUGCAAGUUGAGCGCUGAAGGUUGGUACUUGUACCAACUGGAUGAGCAGCGAACGGGUGAGUAACGCGUGGGGAAUCUGCCUUUGAGCGGGGGACAACAUUUGGAAACGAAUGCUAAUACCGCAUAAAAACUUUAAACACAAGUUUUAAGUUUGAAAGAUGCAAUUGCAUCACUCAAAGAUGAUCCCGCGUUGUAUUAGCUAGUUGGUGAGGUAAAGGCUCACCAAGGCGAUGAUACAUAGCCGACCUGAGAGGGUGAUCGGCCACCUUGGGACUGGACCACGGCCCAAACUCCUACGGGAAGCAGCAGUAGGGAAUCUUCGGCAAUGGACGAAAGUCUGACCGAGCAACGCCGCGUGAGUGAAGAAGGUUUUCGGAUCGUAAAACUCUGUUGGUAGAGAAGAACGUUGGUGAGAGUGGAAAGCUCAUCAAGUGACGGUAACUACCCAGAAAGGGACGGCUAACUACGUG
rnacentral:rRNA from 1 species